UUCAACAAUUUGUCAACAAGUUGUGAGUGACAACCUUGUAGCAACUUGAUGAAAUAACAGCAUUGUUACAACUUGUUGACAAGCUUGCUACAAGCCUGUUGCGAACACAUCGUGUUGACAAGUUGCGAGAUUUUUACGUGUGUAGAGUACCGCAAGAUACGAAUAUAAUCCCCUCGAAUACACGCGUAAAAACGCACAAAUAGUUCCAGGUCUGCAAACAAG